rnacentral:rRNA from 1 species
GGGGAAUAUUGCACAAUGGGCGCAAGCCUGAUGCAGCCAUGCCGCGUGUGUGAAGAAAGGCCUUCGGGUUGUAAAGCACUUUCAGCGAGGAGGAAGGGUAGUGUGUUAAUAGCACAUUGCAUUGACGUUACUCGCAGAAGAAGCACCGGCUAACUCCGUGCCAGCAGCCGCGGUAAUACGGAGGGUGCAAGCGUUAAUCGGAAUUACUGGGCGUAAAGCGCACGCAGGCGGUUUGUUAAGUCAGAUGUGAAAUCCCCGCGCUUAACGUGGGAACUGCAUUUGAAACUGGCAAGCUAGAGUCUUGUAGAGGGGGGUAGAAUUCCAGGUGUAGCGGUGAAAUGCGUAGAGAUCUGGAGGAAUACCGGUGGCGAAGGCGGCCCCCCUGGACAAAGACUGACGCUCAGGUGCGAAAG